UGCAAGAUAUGGAAACCUCAACCCUAAACCGAUUAGGUUUAGAUUGCUAACGCGACGCGAGGUCGGUUUGGCUUCCCUAUCUCUCUCUCCCUCUAUAUAUAUAUAUGACUAUUAGCGUCCACCAGAAACACAUCAACACGAGCUAGGGGCUGCUGCUCCGCCACCGUGACCUUCUCCAUCCCUAUCGCUGGUGUGCAUUGGGGAAUAGGAGAGUGGGUCUCCUGAAUCCUUCGCCUUCAGGAUCCUACACGAAUAAGGUUUUUGGGCAGUGCUUCACGCGACUGCUCAAGGUCUUCACCACGGCGCAUCUUCCAUCCAACUCAGUCGCCUCAAAGGCCAACACCUUCGUCGACACCAGCAGCAGCGGCGGUUCGUCGUCGUCGACCCUCCAGCCAAGGCUCAGUACAUAUUCAGUGAUAUGAUUGGUUUUCUUAAGCAUAUACCCUGAGAUCCUGGCUAUGUGAUUUAUGUUUCAAGUAUAUUAGAUCUGUGCCUGCUAGUUCUAUGUUCAUCAUAAUUUAUUUUAUAUGAAAUUUAAUACUAUGAUUGUCUAUAUUCUCAACAGUGGGGACGACCUGGUCUAGCCAACCAUGACCGGUAGAGGUUUGUUUGGUUAGCACCAUGUCCUUUGGCUGUAUCUAUGUGCAUGUUCCCUGUACUCCAGGUCAAUCGGUCACGAUCCUAGCAUCUACUAGCAGGUACUUGGUAAAUAUGGAAUCUGAGAAAGCAU
rnacentral:lncRNA from 1 species